UCCAGACUCCUACGGGAGGCAGCAGUGGGGAAUAUUGGGCAAUGGGCGCAAGCCUGACCCAGCAACGCCGCGUGAAGGAAGAAGGCUUUCGGGUUGUAAACUUCUUUUAAGGGGGAAGAGGAGAAGACGGUACCCCUUGAAUAAGCCACAGCUAACUACGUGCCAGCAGCCGCGGUAAUACGUAGGUGGCAAGCGUUGUCCGGAUUUACUGGGUGUAAAGGGCGUGCGGCCGGGAGGACAAGUCAGAUGUGAAAUCCCGCGGCUCAACCGCGGAACUGCAUUUGAAACUGUUUUUCUUGAGUACCGGAGAGGUCAUCGGAAUUCCUUGUGUAGCGGUGAAAUGCGUAGAUAUAAGGAAGAACACCAGUGGCGAAGGCGGAUGGCUGGACGGCAACUGACGGUGAGGCGCGAAAGCGUGGGGAGCAAACAGGAUUAGAUACCCCAGUA
rnacentral:rRNA from 1 species